UACGUAGGGGGCAAGCGUUGUCCGGAAUCAUUGGGCGUAAAGCGCGUGUAGGCGGCUCGGUAAGUCCGCUCUGAAAGCCCGGGGCUCAACCCCGGGAGGCGGGUGGAUACUGUCGAGCUCGAGUCCGGAAGAGGAGUGUGGAAUUCCUGGUGUAGCGGUGAAAUGCGUAGAUAUCGGAAGGAACACCAGUGGCGAAAGCGGCUUCCUGGUCCAGCACCGACGUUCAGGCACGAAAGCGUGGGGA
rnacentral:rRNA from 1 species